UUUUUUAUAGAAAAUCUCUAAAAUUAUUUUCUAUCUAAUUUUGUUUUCAAAACAUUUUUAAAAUCAUUUUUAGUAUUUAUUUUCUAUUUUCUCUUAUUUUCCUUAUUAUUUUAAUUUCCAAUUUAAUUUUCAAACAUUUUUUAGUUCAAACUUUUAAGAUCUAAUUGCUUGUAGUUUUUUUUACUUUCUCAAAUUAUCUUGGCAUUUUAUUUGAUGUUUUGAUGCCUGUUUGGUAAAUUCCAUUUAAUUUCCAUUUUAAAAUCAUGUUUAUUU
rnacentral:lncRNA from 1 species